rnacentral:tRNA from 1 species
GGGGGUGUUCCAGAGCGGUCAAAUGGAGCAGACUGUAAAUCUGUUGACUUCGGUCUUCGGUGGUUCAAAUCCAUCCACCCCCACCA